AAAAAAGGGGAGGGGGGGUUUUAUUUGAACUCUCUCCUCUCAAGUUUGGGUUUGGCGAAAAAGACAUCUUUUGGCUGCUGCAGGGAUUUUAUUUGAACUUCCUCUCUCUCCUCUCAAAUUUGGUUUUGGCGUUGGCAGCUUCCUUUUCUUUUUUUGGCUGCUCGAUUGUUUUAAUAUUUUCGAUCCACACGUUUUGCAUUUUUUUUUCUUUUUUAGAGCGAUUUUUGGUUUUUGAUUUGGGUUUUAGAUGAUUAUGAGAUGUUGCAA
rnacentral:lncRNA from 1 species